CCCAGGGCUUGCGCCCUGGGCUACGAUCUAUCGCCCCUCCGGGGCU
rfam:Acidobacteria bacterium RIFCSPLOWO2_12_FTLL_60_22 rifcsplowo2_12_scaffold_124035, whole genome shotgun sequence.